rnacentral:rRNA from 1 species
GACGAACGCUGGCGGCGUGCUUAACACAUGCAAGUCGAACGGGUCUGCCCUGUUUUUUGCGGGGUGGGUCAGUGGCGAACGGGUGAGUAACACGUGAGUAACCUGCCCCUCACUUCUGGAUAACCGCUUGAAAGGGUGGCUAAUACGGGGUGUUCUGGCUGUGCCGCAUGGUGUGGCUGGGAAAGAUUCACUUUUGUGGUGUUUUGGUGGGGGAUGGGCUCGCGGCCUAUCAGCUUGUUGGUGGGGUGAUGGCCUGCCAAGGCUUUGACGGGUAGCCGGCCUGGGAGGGUGGGCGGUCACACUGGGGCUGAGAUACGGCCCAGACUCCUGCGGGAGGCAGCAGGGGGGGGUAUUGCACAAUGGGCGGAAGCCUGAUGCAGCGACGUCGCGUGAGGGAUGGAGGCCUUCGGGUUGUGAACCUCUUUCGCCGGUGAAGAAGGUCCUGCUCUUUGUGGUGGGGUUGACGGUAGCCGGGUUAUGAAGCGCCGGCUAACUACGUG